AGUAAUUUCAUAAUUCGUUAUACUAUUUGAUAACUGUCCAAUUUUAGUACCUAUUUCUAGUAAUAUUUUCUGGUUUUAUAAAUUCAUAAGGCGAUAAGAUAAUAUGAGGUGUGAUGUACAAUAUCCAUGGAUUUAUUAUUAAACUUGUUAAACCAACGAAUUAAGACUUUUUAUUUUGGUCUUCUUUGUCUUGCGAUGCCGAAAAGUAUCUAGCGCUGCA